rnacentral:rRNA from 1 species
GACAGGGGUGCCAAGCGUUAGGCGGAAUCACUGGGCUUAAAGCGUGUGUAGGCGGACCCAUAAGUGCCUUGUGAAAUCCCACGGCUUAACCGUGGAACGGCUGGGCAUACUGCGGGUCUUGAGCCACUUAGGGGUCAGCGGAACAAAUGGUGGAGCGGUGAAAUGCGUAGAUAUCAUUUGGAACGCCAACGGUGAAAACAGCUGACUGGGAGUGUGCUGACGCUGAGACACGAAAGCCAGGGGAGCGAACGGG